UAUAAAGCAAGGAAAAGAGUUCUCAGGAGACUUGGAUACAUAAAAAAGGAAAGUGCUAGAGUGAAGAUUGCCUGUGAAAUAAGCAGUGCAGAUGAAUUGACCUUGACUGAAUUGAUGUUGAAUGGGACCUUCGGCAAAAUUGAAGUGGAGGAGCUUGUAUCUCUUCUCUCUUGUUUUGUGUGGCAAGAAAAGCUUCAGGAUGCCCCAAAGCCCCGGGAAGAGCUUGAGUUGCUCUUUGCACAGUACAGGAUAUAGCUCGGAAGGUUGCAAAAGUUCAGCUCGAUAGCAAGGUCCAAAUAGAUGUUGAGAACUUUGUGAGUUCAUUCCGACCUGAUAUCAUGGAGGCUGUCUAUGCCUGGGCUGGAGGAUCUAAGUUUUAUGAGAUUAUGGAAAUUACUCAGGUGUUUGAGGGCAGUUUAAUCAGGGCUAUCAGGAGACUGGAGGAAGUUCUUCAGCAGCUAAUAGAAGCUGCGAAAGCCAUUGGGGAUGUUGGGCUUGAGGCAAAAUUCAAAGAGGCCGUUGCCAAGAUCAAGAGGGACAUUGUCUUUGCGGCAUCUCUGUAUUUGUAGAUAUAAGAUUGAGGCAUUUCUGUCAAUGGUCCAUAAACAGAGGUCAGUUAAGAUGGAGGUUAUGCCACCAAUUAUGUGACUCUCAAGUGUAGGGGUGUUCAUGGUUCUAUUUUCUGUAAUUCGAAACUAAGCCUGAUGUGUAGUUCGUUAGAUAUGCAAAUUAAACAAUUAUGCUUUUUUUCCUGCUGGGGUACAGCAUGUACAGUGUGGAAUUAUUACUUUUUGGUGUGGCGUGACUUUUCAAUUAACUAGAUAAUUAACAAUU